rnacentral:rRNA from 1 species
GAAGCCGGAAUUGCUAGUAAUGGCAGGUCAGCAUACUGCCGUGAAUACGUUCCCGGGCCCUUGUACACACCGCCCGUCACACCAUGAGAGUUGGGAAUACCCGAAGCCUGUGAGCUAACGAAAGAGGCAGCAGUCGAAGGUAGAAUCAAUGAUUGGGGUGAAGUCGUAACAAGGUAGC